GAAAUGCGAUAAGUAAUGUGAAUUGCAGAAUUCAGUGAAUCAUCGAAUCUUUGAACGCACAUUGCGCCCGCCAGCACUCUGGCGGGCAUGCCUGUCCGAGCGUCAUUUCGACCCUCAGGGGCCCUGGCAAGGGAACCUGGCGUUGGGGGACGGCAACCGCGGGGCCCACCGAGGCCCUGCCGCCGCCCCCGAAAUGCAGUGGCGGCCACGUCGCAGCGACCUCCGCGUAGUAGCAAAACACCUCGCGGCAAGGGAGCGCGUCGCGGCCACGCCGUGAAACCGUGUGUGUGCGGACGCCCGCAGCUUCUGCGGGAGUGACCACACCCACAAUACCCCCUAGAGUUGACCUCGGAUCAGGUAGGAAUACCCGCUGAACUUAA
rnacentral:misc_RNA from 1 species